AACCCUGAACACAAGACCAGCACAAGCAUGAAAACUCAAACGCACCGAUCACAUGACCACAGAGAAGAAGAAGAAGAAGAAGUAGAAGUAGUUGUCCACCUGAAGACCCAGAGAAAAGUUCAGACCAAAACAGAAAAGUCUAUUUCUCCCCAAGAUUUGACACCAGAAACAAGAGAUCACCCAAAUCAAUGCCUCCACCAAAGGAGAUCCUGUCUGUAUCCAUGACAACACCUCUAUUUGUUUUAUACUGUGAAAUCCUUUUAAAUCAACAUUUGAAUAAAUGUAUUCCUUCAGCUGG